rnacentral:rRNA from 1 species
GACGAACGCUGGCGGCGUGCCUAAUACAUGCAAGUUGAGCGCUGAAGGUUGGUACUUGUACCAACUGGAUGAGCAGCGAACGGGUGAGUAACGCGUGGGGAAUCUGCCUUUGAGCGGGGGACAACAUUUGGAAACGAAUGCUAAUACCGCAUAAAAACUUUAAACACAAGUUUUAAGUUUGAAAGAUGCAAUUGCAUCACUCAAAGAUGAUCCCGCGUUGUAUUAGCUAGUUGGUGAGGUAAAGGCUCACCAAGGCGAUGAUACAUAGCCGACCUGAGAGGGUGAUCGGCCACAAUGGGACUGAGACACGGCCCAAACUCCCACGGGAGGCAGCAGUAGGGAAUCUUCGGCAAUGGACGAAAGUCUGACCGAGCAACACCGCGUGAGUGAAGAAGGUUUUCCGAUCGUAAAACUCUGUUGGUAGAGAAGAACGUUGGUGGGAGUGGAAAGCUCAUCAAGUGACGGUAACUACCCAGAAAGGGACGGCUAACUACGUG